UCCGUCCCCCUGGGUGUCACGUCCUCUUCGUGUUGGGUCCAUCUUGGAAAGACACACACCCGCGACAUGAGGGCGAAGUGGAGGAAGAAGCGUAUGCGCAGACUGAAGCGCAAAAGGAGAAAGAUGAGGCAGAGGUCCAAGUAAACCUCCCCCUUGCUGCUCUCAGCCAUGAAACACCUUGGUUUGUGACGCAGCUGGACUGACCAGGGAGCUCAGCAGAUGAACCGGCUUGUAGGAGUUGCGUCGAGUGGAGAAGGCAUGAUGGGAACAUACACCUGUUUGACGUCUGAGAGUACAUGAAGGCUUUCCUGGGGACAUUCUGGACUGUGGUUGCUUACCUAGCUGUUCAUUUGUAUAAAAAGUCUACAAUAAAUUUUUUUACAUCUGU